rnacentral:rRNA from 1 species
UACGUAGGUGGCAAGCGUUGUCCGGAAUCAUUGGGCGUAAAGCGCGUGUAGGCGGCCCAGUAAGUCCGCUCUGAAAGCCCGGGGCUCAACCCCGGGAGGCGGGUGGAUACUGCUGGGCUCGAGUCCGGAAGAGGCGAGUGGAAUUCCUGGUGUAGCGGUGAAAUGCGUAGAUAUCUGGAGGAACACCGGUGGCGAAGGCGGCGGUUCUCGGAGCUGCAACUGACACUGAGGAACGAAAGCCAGGGGAGCAAACGGG